AGUCUUUUUCCUACAGUAAGCAAUGGGCCCUCAUGUUUCAGUGGCACUGCUUUGGAGAUUCCUGGUUGACUUCCCAGGAAGUUCUCUUCCAAGGAGACACAGAACAUUCUCUGUUACCUGUCACUUUUGUAAUAUAAAACUUUGGGAAGUGGAAAUAUAGAAGUGGAUCUGAGAAGCUGUUAGCCAUCCCAUGUGGCUCUCUGCAUAGGAAAAGCAGUUCCACGUUGCUGGCCACUGGGCAGUGCUUUCCACGUGGAUGUGGGGUCUGGGCAUGCACGGCAGGAGCUCUACUCUAUCAUUGGUUCCUGUCUGGUUCCUGCCCCUUUCUUUCCUGGCACAGGACCCUGGUAGAGACAGACAUUUCUCCCUCCAUGUUCCUCUCUGUGCAUCCUCAGCCUGUGUAUUUCACUGGUGGGUUGAAAUGUUCUGGUCUUUUCUAGAACCACUCAAGCCGUGCUGGAUGGUACCUGAUAGAUUUUCUUGAUUUACAUAUUUUGUUAUAAACAGGUGUACGAAAGAAAGAUUAAAUUCCUGUAGGUGCCACGGGAGUUGAUAAAACUUCUGGAAGGUUAGCCCUUGGGCUUUGGGUCAGAAACCUCUUUCUGUGUCUAUGGCAGAUGUACAAAAUGAGUGGGAAGGAGGGAAAUGAGGAUGAUUGGCCUGGAGUUCAGUGUGUGAAAUUGGGAGGAGGUAGAGCUACCCCUGAGGCACGCACACACUGGUAGCUUGAGACCAGGCGAGAGGAGUGGGUGAGGAACCGUUAUCCCAUAUGCUGAAGAAAGAGUCCUGUCACCUUUGUGGGAUUGCAAGGCCACGAGAAGAGUUGCUUGCCAGAUCAGGUAGCUUGGUGACAGUUCCACAUUUUCUCGCUCAUGAGUUAAGUGUCAUUUUGGGACACUAGCCGCUCUUCCUUGUGAAAUGCUUGGGGAGCAAAGCUUGCAGCUUCUGAACGAACCAGUCGGGAGGUUUCCUUCUCCUCAGAUUUGGCUGGCACGUGUCUUCCUCUUUGCUCCCUGGAGCUUAAUGCAGGCCCAUCCCCAACCCAUGAGGUAGUAGAUUAGGGCCUGAGGAUGGCUGUGGAGACCUGCUGGAUUGCUUUUUCAGUUCCUGUAAUCUCUGCCCCACCUGCACUGGCCAGAUAGGAGAGUUAAACGGAGAUGUGGUGGGAACCACCACCCCUGCAUCUUUCAAGUCCUUGAUAGUGGCAGUAAUUUCUGCAAUGCCUCCAGGAAUACGAUACUGUUUUUGAUUCACUAUUUUCUUUGGCAGAGGCAACUCUAAAGGCUUCCAUUUGGCCUUUCCAACCAUAAUAGCCCUCACUCUACAGUUCAGGGAACCAAUAUGAGAAUUCUGCCAAUUUCUGAGUAUAUCUAUCCCAAUUAUACAUUCUGGAACUGGGGAAAUCACCACAGGAUGUGUCCGAGGACCUACUGGACCUACUGUGAGUCGAACAUCAGUCAAAACUCCAUUAAUCACCUGCCCUCCAUAAGGAGGCUGUUGCUUCUGGUUGGCAUCUCACAGAAGGAGAUGGAAGGGAGUCAACCCCUGGCCUACAUCUCCUUAGUAAGCUUGCUUAGAUCAGCGUCUUUCUCUUCUGACCAUGCUCCCCUGCAGUCACUUGCAGCCAUCGAGGUGUGACAUGACCAAGCUCCUUCCUGGUUUCCUUGUCCACAUGAACCCUUCUGCUGUCUUUAUGUGGCUGCUUUUGAAGACAUCUUCAUUUCUGCAGGCUCUUCCAUUGCUGGUUGCUUGUUUCCAGUCCACUAGAAAGCCCUUGGCCACACUUCUUACUUAGGUGAUUGCUUUUGUCAUUUGUUCCCAGGCAUGUCCAGUCUGGUCUUUACAGUUUCGCAGUGCUGUUUUCUAGAGAUGGUGUGGCACGUUGGCUGUGGAAGCGGAGAGAGGCCAGCUGGCUGUGAUGCCCAACUCAAGAGACUGCAGCGCAGAAGGUGGUGGUCUCCUCACCACAUUGUUGUUAUUGCUUGGGAAAAGAACUGGUUUCCAUCAAAAACACAUUAGCAUUUUCUUUGUAGCCAACUCACACAUAUUUUAAAAGGUUUAAGAAUUUAAUGUUUAAUUUGGAAUAUUGUCAGUCAAGAGAUGUUAUCUAUAUAAUUCUUUAUGAUCUUCACUAAUUUUUACGACUACGGGAAGAGGUCACCAGAUGAUAACAGUAAGAUCAUCUAGUAUCUGGUCGGUUCCCAUCACCCGUGCAGGGUCACACACACAUGGUUGUAAUCAGGGUAAUUGGACAUCUCCAUAGGCAGCCUCAACAGCCGUCAUUAAAAAAAAAUAGAAUU
rnacentral:lncRNA from 1 species